UGGGGAAUAUUGGGCAAUGGGCGCAAGCCUGACCCAGCAACGCCGCGUGAGGGAUGAAGGCUUUCGGGUCGUAAACCUCUGUCGGAAGGGAAGAACGGGUGAGGGUCUAAUAGGCCUUCAUUUUGACGGUACCUUUAGAGGAAGCACCGGCUAACUCCGUGCCAGCAGCCGCGGUAAUACGGAGGGUGCAAGCGUUAUUCGGAAUUACUGGGCGUAAAGCGCACGUAGGCCGCUUUGUAAGUCAGUGGUGAAAUCCCACGGCUCAACCGUGGAACUGCCCUUGAAACUGCAGAGCUUGAAUCCUGGAGAGGGUGGCGGAAUUCCUGGUGUAGGAGUGAAAUCCGUAGAUAUCAGAGGGAACACCGGUGGCGAAGGCGGCCACCUGGACAGGCAUUGACGCUGAGGUGCGAAGGUGUGGGGAGCAAACG
rnacentral:rRNA from 1 species